UACGUAGGCAGCGAGCGUUGUUCGGAGUUACUGGGCGUAAAGGGUGUGUAGGCGGUUUUCUAAGUUUGGUGUGAAAUCUCCCGGCUCAACCGGGAGGGUGCGCCGAAAACUGGGAGACUAGAGUGCGGGAUGGGAGAGUAGAAUUCCUGGUGUAGCGGUGAAAUGCGUAGAUAUCAGGAGGAAUACCGGUGGUGUAGACGGCUCUCUGGACCGCGACUGACGCUGAGACACGAAAGCGUGGGUAGCAAACAGG
rnacentral:rRNA from 1 species